rnacentral:rRNA from 1 species
UACGUAGGGGGCAAGCGUUAUCCGGAUUUACUGGGUGUAAAGGGAGCGUAGACGGCCAGACAAGUCAGAAGUGAAAGCCCAGGGCUCAACCCUGGGACUGCUUUUGAAACUGUGUGACUGGAGUGCAGGAGAGGUAAGCGGAAUUCCUGGUGUAGCGGUGAAAUGCGUAGAUAUUAGGAGGAACACCAGAGGCGAAGGCGACUCACUGGACUGUAACUGACGCUGAGGCUCGAAAGCGUGGGGAGCAAACAGG